UGGGGAAUCUUGGACAAUGGGCGCAAGCCUGAUCCAGCCAUGCCGCGUGAGUGAAGAAGGCCUUCGGAUUGUAAAGCUCUUUUGGCGGGGACGAUAAUGACGGUACCCGCAGAAUAAGCCCCGGCUAACUUCGUGCCAGCAGCCGCGGUAAUACGAAGGGGGCUAGCGUUGUUCGGAAUCACUGGGCGUAAAGCGCACGUAGGCGGACUUAUAAGUCAGGUGUGAAAUCCCCGGGCUUAACCUGGGAAUUGCGCUUGUAACUGGCAGGCUAGAGUGUGGCAGAGGGGGUGGAAUUCCACGUGUAGCAGUGAAAUGCGUAGAUAUGUGGAGGAACACCGAUGGCGAAGGCAGCCCCCUGGGUUAACACUGACGCUCAUGCACGAAAGCGUGGGGAGCAAACAGGAUUAGAUACCCUAGUAGUCCCUGAGCGGGCUGGCAAGGCGCAU
rnacentral:rRNA from 1 species